AGGUGACAUGAAGCAGAAACAAGGAAGGAAAUCUCAUAUGAAAUGGGUAUUUUAUGUUGGAGUUCUUUCAACUUUAUUUUGCUAAUUCAGUGAGAGUAGUUGUCAAAGAUGGCAUCAAAGUUUAGCAAAUCUAUGCUUGAUGGGGUUGAAAUUACGAUUUGUUCAGUGAUAGGACUUUUGGUUAAAUCCCAAGCAGGGAAUGCAUUCUUUGCCAUAGUUCCCGAACAGGUCCUCUUGGCUUCCCUUGAUGCUAUCAAGGUAAAACCCCUGCAAAGGACAAGAAAGAACAUAAGCCACCUCUAUAGCAAAGCCAUCAAGAGAAAGAUCCCCUUCCAACAGACAUCAAGGCAGAAAAUCCCCAUCCACCACCCAGUAGCAUAUAUAUAAAGACCUGUCCAAACUCUUUUGAACAAUGAACAUCUUAAAACUGCUGAUAUUUUGAUGUUGUUUUGAUGUUUUGAUUGCUGCUUGGUUUAUUAGAAUAUGGUCAAUAUUUUAACAUGACAAGCAUCAUAUAAAACAUGUUAUUAGUCU